CUGUAGUCUCAGCUACUUGCGGGGCUGAGAUAGGAGGAUCACUUGAACCCAGGAGGUGGAGGUUGCAGUGAGCUGAGAUCCUGCCACUGCAUUCCAGCCUAGGCGGCAGAGUGAGAUAAUGAUCUCACACACACACAAAAAGCUGUCAACAUAGUUGGUCUCCUCCCUAGGGUUAUCUCCACCUAGAAUUGGGGUUAAGGAGGGUGACAAUUAAUUUUAUGAGUCAACUUGACUGGGACAUGGGAUGUCCAGAUGUCCAGUUAACUGUUACUUCUGGCUGUGUCUGUGAGGGUGUGUUCAGAAGAGGUGCACCUUUGAUUUGGUGGACUGAGGAAAGUUGGUGGCAUGCCCCAACGUGGGAGGGCAUCAUCCCUUCUGUUGACAGACUGAAUGGAACCAAAAGGCAAAGGAAGGUUGAAUUUGCUCUCUGCCUGUUUUGAGUUGAGACAUUGAUCUUCUUCUGCCCUCAGUCCUUCAGACUCAGACUGGAAUCUACACCAUUAGUUCUCUGGCUCUCCAACCUUCAAACUAUGGCACCAACUUUGCUGGGUCUCAAGCUUGCAGAGCAGAUCCUGAGGAGCCCAGGCUGAGAUCUCACUGGAGAGGGAACUUCAGGAGACAGGAAUAUGGAGGCAGCUUUCUACCCAAGACAGCUUGGCCCUUGGCCUUACCUCACGGCACACAGCUGCAAUCUGGCCUUCAUCCAUGCAGGUUUCUGUCACCACGUCUGUCAAGGAGCCUCCAGCCAAGUAUUCCAUAACAACCCAUAGCUCAUCUCCCACAAGGUAACUGCAGGAAUACAGAUAAAGGGUGAGAAGGAACAAUCAGAGUACACUGAGCCACAGCACUGCAUUUCAAAGGCUAAGUAUAUACACAGAGUAAAAUUAUGUCUUAGCACAAAGUAAAGUAAAAGGUUCUUUAAUUCAGGGUAAAGCAGAAUCUAGGGGACAGAAUGACUAACUUCGAAUCUCUCAAGGAUGCUCCUGGAGAAAACCAAGCAUACAUGUUCUGUGAAGCCCCAAACGGCAGAACUAAGGUCACUAACUUAAAAUGACAUAAUAAAAUUAUAUUUCAUCACAACACAAAGGAAGACAUCCUAAAAUUAGAAAGACUGCCACAAUUCCCACACCUCUAGAAGCAUCCAAACAUUGCACAAAGAUGGGAUUUAGAGUCCAUGUUACCCAAAGAAGAGAGAGCUACUAAACCUCCCAGAGAGUCCUACCAGAUCUGAGAUCUAUGAGACCAAGUAUUGAGUCUUGUUCAAAACUCUAUCCCAAGAGUCCAGCAUAGCAGAUGCCAAUAUUUACUGAAUAAAUCAAUGAAUAAAAGGUAACUGUAAAUAUGAAAUGAAAUAAUGUUUAUAAGUGUCCCUUAAAAGCUGCAGAGUGUUGUAUACAUAGUCAUUAUGCUGAUAAUUGACCUCUAUUUGAAUGUCUGUGAUUCAAGAAUGGAAGGAAUUUAGCAAGGGCUUACAGAGCCAACGCCUUCUGAUAAGCCGAGACUAUCAUUUAGUAAGGUAUUCCUGGAGAGAUUAUGGACUGACAUGAGUUAGAACUGAUAGUUUCGCUCAGGAGUUGGAUCACUCAGCCCUAUUACAUGAUAAAUAAAAAGGUCACUUAGCCUAUCUGGUCAAUGUUUCCUUACUAUAGAAUCAGACGAAUAAAAACAAGGCAAGCCUAGAACCCUAAAGUCUUCUGCCAGUCUUGGACAUAGAAGCUGGACAUUUCUUGCAUUGGCUUGAACUGUGUGGCAUCAUCUUACCUUCAUCCUGAUAUUGGGAAUACUGCUGGACAGAUGUGGAGACUGUAGGAAGAUUUUAACAAGUACACUCAAGCAAAGGAAACAGCAAGAAGUAUAAACAAGGAAUGAUUCAAACUUUUAUGUGACAAAUCCCUGACUCUAUUAUUUCUUCAAGUCAAGAAUGGACAGUCUUCUGCAGAGACCAAAUUAAUCAUUAAGAAUAGAAGUAAUUCUGUUAAAAAAUCUGAUCACCUCCAUUCCCUGCCUCAAGUAAGGAAAAAUUGCUUUGGAGUGGGGUUUCUUGUUAGGUCAGGCUUCUGGUCUGGCUGUAGCUCUCUAUAACAGCUGAGCAUUAGUUUUUCCCAAUAUUUGAAAAGCAACAUGCUGAUCUAACGAUAUUAAAUAUAGUUAGCCCUUAUCACACACAUUAAGGACUGGAGCCAGAAGAAUGUCUUUGGAGUUACUCAUGCCAUCUUGGAGGAUGGGACACUGCUUAUGAACCUCACAGUGGUCACUGCUGGCAGCAGCAAGGGAGGAGAGGCAGAAAGAGACUACUAACAUGGAGGCUGUUUCUCUCUCUCUCUCUUUUUUUUUUAGAGAUGAAGUCUUGCUCUGUUGCCCAGGCUGGAGUGCAAAGGUGCAAUCUUGGUUUACUGUAACCUCUGCCUCCCAUGUUCAAGUGAUUCUCCUGCCUCAGCCUCCUGAGUAGCUGGGAUUACAGGCAUCCACAACCAUGCCUGGCUAAUUUUGGUAUUUUUAGUAGAAACAGGGUUCCACCAUGUUGGUCAGGCUGUUCUCAAACUCCUGACCUGGUGAUCUGCCUGCCUUGGUCUCCCAAAGUGUUGGGAUUACAGGCGGGAGCCACCACGCCCAGCCAGGCCUAGCUAUGGGCUAGGCUAAGUGUCCUUCAGCUAAUCAGACCUCACCUGAUAGGAGAUAGCAUUCCUAUAAGAGAAAAAGGACUGGUCUUGAACUCUGAGGACUUAAGCUGAGGACCUGACUGUCACUUACUGACCUUGACCAAUCACAAGCUUUCGGAGCCUCAGUCUCUUUAUCAAUGCACUGAAGUUAAUUGCAACUUUGAUUCUCCUCUUCUCAGGAUUGCUUAGAAUACCAAGUGAGACAAUGGCCAAUGCAUUACAUAUAAGUAAUAAGUAAAUAAUUUAACCAAUAAAGUUAGACAACAAUGAAAAUGGUAAUCAUAGCAAUAAAGUAUUUAAUAAGUACUUGGCACAGCAACCACUCUCCCACCACUACUGUGUGCCAGGCUCGGUGCUAGAGGCCCUACUUAUAUUAUCAUAGUAAAACCUUACAACUCUGCAAAGUAAAAAUUAUGACUUGUAUUUUCAGGUAAGAAAACUGAGGCUAAGAUUUGCAAGAAAAUUCUAAGGUCAUAACUAAUGCCCAUAGGUCCAUGUAACUCCAAAGACUCUUUCAGUGUGUUAUACACAUUCUCUCUAAAAACAUGCUUGAAAAAUAAUUGUUGGAUCUGUAACUGGAAGACUUCCCAGCACUAACAUUCUUCCUAUAUGUGACACAAUAGCUCUGCCCUUCUAAGCUAGAUAACCCCCAGUAAGCACGCACUGGCAGAGACUGAGAGCAUCCUGCCAACUCCACUAAAGAUUUAUACUCCUUGGUGCAGGAAAUGAAGUGUUCCUGACCACACUGCAUUAGCCACCCCAAUGGACUCCCUUCCAUUCAUAGUUUUGUAACCACAAGGCAGGCACACAAUGAAUUUAAAUUUCUCUUUCUUCUGGCCAGCUUCUCACACAGUCAGCCUCCAGGCCUUCCAGGAACCACCGCCAUCACCUAUCUGCCUCCCAUCAAGGGCUGUAAGGCCUGAGAGGCCAGAAACAUGACAAGAGACUCUAGUAUCUAACCUCAGCUCUGUUGUGCUCUUACAGCCCAAAACACAUAGGAUUAAAAGUCAAAGAUUCUAAUCUAGUGCCUGCUAAUCGCUGACAGUACAACUUUGCAAAAAAGUUAUUUAUACAUCCUGAGCCUCAAAUUCCUGAGCAGUAAAAAAAAAAAUAAUAUUACCUACCUCACAGAGUUCUUUUCAGGAUUGGUAUAGCCUUCUCUUUUUUAUCUCUGCAUCAUAUUCACCAUCAUUAAAAUGCCAUGAUAAUACUAUCCUUCCUUCCUCACCAUUAUUUUUACUUUAAGGCAGAUUCCUGUCAAUAUUACAAGACUUUUAUAUGCACACAAAGGAAAUUAUGGUCUCUUACAUUUACAUAUGAUUUUAAUGUCUGAGAACUUUCACAGAGUUCUUAGCAUAAGGUGUGGCAUAAAGCAAAUGCUUUGUGGAAUACAUACAUAUGUAUAUGAGUAAAAAUGAAUAAAUAUGAGUAUGUAGUUCAUAAAGUUUAUAAUGCAUUUUCACAUGUAUUGCUUUACUGAAUUAUUUUUUUUUUUUUUGAGACGAAGUUUCACUCUUGUUACCCAGGCUGGAGUGCAAUGGCGCGAUCUCAGCUCACCGCAACCUCUGCCUCCUGGGUUCAGGCAAUUCUCCUGCCUCAGCCUCCUGAGUAGCUGGGAUUACAGGCAUGUGCCACCAUGCCCAGCUAAUUUUUUUUAAUUUUUUUUUUUUUUAGUAGAGACGGGGUUUCACCAUGUUGACCAGGAUGGUCUCGAUCUGUUGACCUCGUGAUCCACCCGCCUCGGCCUCCCAAAGUGCUGGGAUUACAGGCUUGAGCGCUUUACUGAAUUCUUUCAACAAUUUUGUGAACAUUUUAUCAUGUACAUUUUAUAAAUAUAUAAAGUUCAGGCUCAAAGAGGUCAAAUAACUGCUCAAGGUUAUAUAAGCAGCUAAAGGCUUAUAAGCAUGUAGGUCUUUGGAUUCUGACGUCAAAGAACAAUGAAUAAAUCCUUAACUGUAAUAAUGAUUUUUAAAAGUUGGCUUACCCUGAGUAGAGCCUUAAUAUUUGGCUUUAACACUUUAAAAACUCAUGAGAGCCUAGUGAGAUAUGUAUUGCCCCUAUUAACUGUGACUUCUCCAGGGUGCCACAUGGUUUCAACCACCAAAAAUAUAGACACACGUUUCAAGCAGCCUCCCUCAGAGAAGCCCAACUCUAUUUUCAUUGGAAGAGGGGUGCCUCUCUCAACUGCUGUGUUCCAGUACUCUUUGAAGUAAGUACUUCUUCUGGACAGCUGCCAUCCACAGCUCACUGGCUGACACUCCUCUGCAACCAAAUACUAGAAUACAAGGAAACCUCGAGUACUCUAUAUUCCCUUCAUAGCUUCCUUUUACUGAAGAUAAGACCUUGGGUCAGCAGGAUUUAGCAAUAAUGUCAGAGUUCUCCUGGCUUAAUGAAAUGAGAGGGACAAAAAGCUGCUUCCAUAUAAAUGAGGAUUUCACUGUUCAGUGGAAAGUAAAGUUAGAACCAGUAUAUUAGAAAUCAAGAGACAUGGUUUAAAUCUCCGCUACAUCAGAUUUCUCUAACAAGCCCCAAACGUGUAUAAAGCAAAUAUCCACCUGACAAUCAGGCAGUAUCCAAUUUCUUUUUUCUUUCUCCUUGAAUAUUACUAAUUUGUAAGUAAUGUUCACAUCCAGUCAAUCAUCUAAUUCUGUCAAACCUACCUGCUAAGUAUCUCUCAAAUCCAUCCACUUCCUUCCAUCUAAUUAUGUCACCUUAGUCCAAACCUUAAGUUUCAUCAUGUUAGCCUGCUAUUUGGCUCUAGUAUACUAUAGUAAGAAACUAGAAAUGUUCCACCUGGGCACGGUGGC